rfam:Gossypium raimondii Chr04_contig_250, whole genome shotgun sequence.
ACGACCUUACUUGAACAGGAUCUGUUCUAUAGGCUCGUACCUCUGUGUCCUUAAGCUCAAAGGAGACAGGAUUCCAAGUCUGGUUGAUGAACCAGGACUGUGUGACCUGAGCGUGAUUAUUGGUCUGGUGAUUCCCUUGCUGGUUUGACUUCGACCGCAGAGGAUCGUUCUCAGCUUGCCUUGGGCGGCUGGGAAGGUCACGCAGUUGUCUGACAGACU